rnacentral:misc_RNA from 1 species
UCGAGUUGUAAAACUCCCAAACCCAUGUGAAUAUACCUCUGUUGCCUCGGUGGACCUGCCCGGUAGUUACCCUGUAGUUACCCUGUAGCCCACCGACGGACCACAAAACUCUGUUUUUUUACUAUCUCUGAGUCAACUAUAAAUAAGUUA